rnacentral:rRNA from 1 species
GGCUCGCAGGCGGUUUCUUAAGUCUGAUGUGAAAGCCCCCGGCCCUACCGGGGAGGGUCAUUGGAAACUGGGGAACUUGAGUGCCCAAGAGGAGAGUGGAAUUCCACGUGUAGCGGUGAAAUGCGUAGAGAUGUGGAGGAACACCAGUGGCGAAGGCGACUCUCUGGUCUGUAACUGACGCUGAGGAGCGAAAGCGUGGGGAGCGAACAGGAUUAGAUACCCUGGUAGUCCACGCCGUAAACGAUGAGUGCUAAGUGUUAGGGGGUUUCCGCCCCUUAGUGCUGCAGCUAACGCAUUAAGCACUCCGCCUGGGGAGUACGGUCGCAAGACUGAAACUCAAAGGAAUUGACGGGGGCCCGCACAAGCGGUGGAGCAUGUGGUUUAAUUCGAAGCAACGCGAAGAACCUUACCAGGUCUUGACAUCCUCUGACAAUCCUAGAGAUAGGACGUCCCCUUCGGGGGCAGAGUGACAGGUGGUGCAUGGUUGUCGUCAGCUCGUGUCGUGAGAUGUUGGGUUAAGUCCCGCAACGAGCGCAACCCUUGAUCUUAGUUGCCAGCAUUCAGUUGGGCACUCUAAGGUGACUGCCGGUGACAAACCGGAGGAAGGUGGGGAUGACGUCAAAUCAUCAUGCCCCUUAUGACCUGGGCUACACACGUGCUACAAUGGACAGAACAAAGGGCAGCGAAACCGCGAGGUUAAGCCAAUCCCACAAAUCUGUUCUCAGUUCGGAUCGCAGUCUGCAACUCGACUGCGUGAAGCUGGAAUCGCUAGUAAUCGCGGAUCAGCAUGCCGCGGUGAAUACGUUCCCG